AUUUGUUAUUUACAUCAAUGUUACAGCUAAUCUAGAAGAACCACAGUGUAUGCCAAUCAUGCUAACUCUUGUAAACUUGUUUUACUUGUCUUUAAUGACAGACACAUUACAGGUUAUGCUCCGGAAGAUGGAGACAUUGGAGGAGAACCAGCGAGAGGCUCUCCUAUUCAGGCGACUACAGGGCAGACACACUGAAGAGGUGCCAGUGAUGGACCUACAGGUGGCCCAAACACAGGCUGAACUCCAAGACCUUGAGGAGCGCCUUAAGGUGCUGGAGUUGCGAAAGAGAGUGACGCUGUGAUGAAGUGGAAGACGGGACUGGGAGAGAAAGCUGUGGAGCUCCUCAUAGAGGAGACACUCAAACACACCCCGGCAGCCCAUUCAAAACAAGCCAGGGCCAACAGACAGGACCUGUAGCGGGGACUGGCAGAAGAUUUUAAUUCACUGUUUGGCU